CCUACGGGAGGCAGCAGUGGGGAAUAUUGCACAAUGGGGGAAACCCUGAUGCAGCGACGCCGCGUGAGGGAAGAAGGCUUUCGGGAUGUAAAGCUCUAUCAGCAGGGAAGAAAAUGACGGUACCUGAGUAAGAAGAUGCGGAUAAAUACGUGCCAGCAGCCGCGGUAAUACGUAUGGAGCAAGCGUUAUCCGGAUUUACUGGGCGUAAAGGGAGCGUAGGGGGCCUGCCAAGUCUGAUGUGAAAUACCGGGGCUCAACCCCGGGGCUGCAGGGGAAACUGGCAGGCUGGAGUGCCGGAGAGGCAGGCGGAAUUCCUAGUGUAGCGGUGAAAUGCGUAGAUAUUAGGAGGAACACCAGUGGCGAAGGCAGCCUGCUGGACGGUGACUGACGCUGAUGCUCGAAAGCGUGGGUAGCAAACAGGAUUAGAUACCCGAGUAGUC
rnacentral:rRNA from 1 species